rnacentral:lncRNA from 1 species
AUGCUGUCCCUUGAGGACAAAGCAGGAUUCAGCCUGGCCCAAAGGUGCAGCAGAAGGAAGCUGGAUUUCGUCUCUUGUUUUGAUCUGAAGACCCACAGAGAAACAGCAUGCCAAAAACAGAAGUUUCUGUGUCUUCAGGAAGGAAGAAAUACCAGCUUUUCUGAAAUGCAAGAAGGGAGAAGCCACAUGCCAGCCCCAGCAAGUGGUCAAUGCGAGUGUUCUCCAGCAGCAAGUUAACACUAUUUUUAUUAAAAGAAUUGAGUCCACGUGAGGCAACGGGGACCCUGCAGCAUGUUUUUCCUAAUGGUGACCAGCACAGUUACAUCUGAUAGCUCUGCCCCAGCCUGCUCCAACCUACAUUUCUGGGUGCCCUGCUUGGGCUCUCAGGUAGCCAUUACCUAUGUCAGACUACCUACACCGUCCACUGGAAGCUGAAUACUUGCUACCUUUUCUUCUCCACCAUCUGCAACGAAGUACUGACCGUGUCACAUGCAGAUAGGCUUUUGGUAGCCCUGGCCUAUGGGCUCUGCCUUUGAUCAAGGAAGCCAGUGAUGGACAAGACUGUGCCAGAAGAAAGCAUCUUGAAACUGCACAAAACCCAAAGAGAAGCGUAAUGGUGUGACUGAAAGGCCACAGCAAAGCUUAAUGCUUGUCUUGCUCUCACAGAGACAUAUUCUUGCUCCUAAUAAGCUCACGUUAGAAGCAAGUUCUGUGUCAGCUGAAGCUUAACCCUUUUACAUUUUUCCCUGACUGGGCACUUCUUAAAAAAGGAUAAUGAUUUAGUCUCAUUUUCUAUGUUAUUGCAGCACUGGAAAGUCUUGGAUCAGACUUUCGGAUGUUCAGUCAACUUCUGGGUUUGCUGCAAAGCAAUGGCUUUAGGCAGCACCUGGGUUUUGAAAAACAUGCAGACACUUUCUGUGAGUUAUUAAAACUGCAGUGCUGGGCUUAAACUCGCUGACCUACUUUAAGCUGCCUUUGAGUGGCUGAAUUUCAGACUUAUCUUCAUUUUAUCUGAAUGUUAAAUAUUGCUUGGUUUUCAGAAUUAUUGUGCACGGCUCCAUCUGUAGUAAAUCUCUUCUCGACGUAGGUGGUUUCCCGUCUUUAAUUUCCGUUACUAAUUGUAGUCAUUCCUAAUGCAGACAAAAAGCAGUGUUCCAGGCUACAAUGUCAUCCAUGCAUGCUGUCAUCCCUGAGAGGCUUUCAGACAUCUGUGGCUUUAUGCAGUUAAGUACUUCUACAUCU